GCGGACGUGGCUCAGUUGGUAGAGCAUCACCUUGCCAAGGUGAGGGUCGCGGGUUCGAGUCCCGUCGUCCGCUCCG
rnacentral:tRNA from 3 species